rnacentral:rRNA from 1 species
GAUGAACGCUAGCGACAGGCUUAACACAUGCAAGUCGAGGGGUAACAGGGAGCUUGCUCCGCUGACGACCGGCGCACGGGUGAGUAACGCGUAUGCAACCUACCCAUAAGAGGGGGAUAACCCGGAGAAAUUCGGAUUAACACCGCAUAAUAACAUUGAUUGGCAUCGAUUGGUGUUUAAAUAUUUAUAGCUUAUGGAUGGGCAUGCGUCUGAUUAGUUAGUUGGUGAGGUAACGGCUCACCAAGACAACGAUCAGUAGGGGUUCUGAGAGGAAGGUCCCCCACACUGGUACUGAGACACGGACCAGACUCCUACGGGAGGCAGCAGUGAGGAAUAUUGGUCAAUGGGCGAGAGCCUGAACCAGCCAAGUCGCGUGAAGGAAGACUGCCCUAUGGGUUGUAAACUUCUUUUGUAGGGGGGUAAAGUGAUCUACGUGUAGAUUAUUGCAAGUACCCUACGAAUAAGGAUCGGCUAACUCCGUGCCAGCAGCCGCCGCAGUAA